GGUUUGGCACAAUGGAUAGAGCGUCGGCUUGGGGACUGAAGGGUCCCAGGUUCGAUUCUGUUCAAGGGCACAUGCCUAGAUGGCAGGCUCGGUCCCUAGUAGGGGUCAUGUAGGAGGCAGCCAAUCAAUGAUUUUCUUCAUUGAUGUUUCUAUCUCUCCCUCUUUCUUCUUCUCUAAAAUCAAUAAGAUAUAUAUUUU